GACGAACGCUGGCGGCGUGCUCAACACAUGCAAGUCGAACGGAAAGGCCCUGCUUUUGUGGGGUGCUCGAGUGGCGAACGGGUGAGUAACACGUGAGUAACCUGCCCUUGACUUUGGGAUAACUUCAGGAAACUGGGGCUAAUACCGGAUAGGAGCUCCUGCUGCAUGGUGGGGGUUGGAAAGUUUCGGCGGUUGGGGAUGGACUCGCGGCUUAUCAGCUUGUUGGUGGGGUAGUGGCUUACCAAGGCUUUGACGGGUAGCCGGCCUGAGAGGGUGACCGGCCACAUUGGGACUGAGAUACGGCCCAGACUCCUACGGGAGGCAGCAGUGGGGAAUAUUGCACAAUGGGCGGAAGCCUGAGGCAGCAACGCCGCGUGCGGGAUGACGGCCUUCGGGUUGUAAACAGCUUUCGCCUGUGACGAAGCGUGAGUGACGGUAAUGGGUAAAGAAGCACCGGCUAACUACGU
rnacentral:rRNA from 1 species